rnacentral:lncRNA from 1 species
AUGUUCUUUUAUGUUUUUUGCAAAUAACUCUCGGCCUCUCACAAUCCUGUACAAAGAUACAACCUCUCAAGACAACCAACUCUCUCAAUAGUGUAUAGUGUUCGCUUAGACAUAGAGGAAGUCCCUCGGCAUACAAACAGACUCUCCUUUCAUCGUGCAAACGUGAGAAACUUGGCUAUCCCUAAAAUAUCUUCACCAGGCAAUGCUUCGACCACCCCAAAACUUCAUUGUCCUCUAUAUUUCGGAGUACCGCUGGUACAUCAUCUUCCUCCAACAAAUAACACUUCGACGUCAACUUCCUCCAACAAGUGGCACUUUAGCAUUGUCUUCCUGCAUCAGUCACGAACCCCAAAAUCUCCUGUUCGUUAUCCUCGGUUGUAAUCAGCUCCAUCGAGAGAUCAAACCGCCUCCAGUAAGUACCAUCACACAGAAUUAUUAUAGUUGGCUCCUCAACUACAAUUUGGGGUUGUGGAACAGCUUCCACAAGUCUUAAGUCCAUUAAUAAGCAAAUGACACUGCAAUAUUGUAUCCACUUGGAGUUUGUAGAUCAAAUGAUGUUUCACAUAAUAUUUUGCCUGAGUACCUAAGUAAUUCUCUCAAAAAAAAAGUACCUCAAUAAUCAGGUAGAGAUAGCUUCGUCCGGCUGCUACUAAGAAAUACUUAAUAUUUGUGUCUUCAUGUGAUGAUUGAACUUAACAUCAUCUCUAUCAUUAAAGAUUUUUGCAGAAAGUUGGCCUCCUUUACUUCUAAGACAAACAUAUAUUUGUAAGGUGACAAGUAAUAAAAAUAAUGAAACUUCAUAAACUU